rnacentral:lncRNA from 1 species
CAGGAGGGUAAGAUUGCCCAGAGGCGUCCAGCAGUGAACACAGUAAGCCUGUUUAAGGUGAUUGCAAAUCUAUGGAUGAGACCAAGGGAGAAUUUUCACGCCAUCAUAGCAUUUUAUUCCUCACCUGACUGGGAGCAGCUCGAAGGGAAGGACAUGUCUCCAAAGACAUGAGGAGUAUUCAACGUGGCAUUCGAGGCGCAAGGAAAAACCUGCCUAUCCCAAGAUCUCAGCCCCAUCAGCCAGCCAAGGGAUCCACAAUGACCCUUAUGAAGUUUCAUAAGGAAGCUAAUUGCUUAAAUGAGAUUUGAGUCAAGAAGGAUGACCUAGCAAUAACCUCUAUAUAUCUCAUUAUGCCAAAACUUAAAUGGCUACAUAAGAGGACAGUCCAGUGACAGACAUGGAAAGAGGCUUAGAGGUCAUCUCAUUCAUCACACCAUUUUACAGAGGAAAGCAAAAUGCCAUCCAGAGAAGGAAAGUCACAAAGCCAUCUAACCCCAGACCUGGGAGUAGCAGCUGAUCACAGCGGGUCGGACACAAGAAGCUGCUUCCAAAAAUCUUUCCUUCCAUUUGUCCUACAGAGAAGACAUCAGAAAACAAAAUUUUAUAAGCAUGUCUCUAGCUCUAACUCACUAUUCAACUAAAGGACAAAUUAAAUAGGGAAUGAGAUAACCUUAACUUCAUGAGAUUUGUUCUUAUAUGCAGUUUUCUACCCUGAGAAACCAAUCUAUGCUAAAGAUAAUAUUUGUGCUUUUCAAUGAGGCUGGUAAAAUAUUUGCACUUUGAAGCUCAGAGCGAUAACAUUUAUUCAUUCGGGUGAAACUUAUCAGGAUUAGGUAAAUAUAAUCGAAGCAAAACAAAAAUGAUUUGGGAAACUUUGUGACCAAAACCAACAGGCGUAUUCAGUACUCCUUUGAAGGUCACCUAAUUCUAAUAACAUUUAUAUUUAUAAAUGUCCUCUAAGUCUUUUAUCUUCUGCAAAUAAAUUAUUUCUCACAA